rnacentral:rRNA from 1 species
UAAAUAUUUUAUUCGUGAACCUGCAAAUAGCUCAUUAAAUCAGUUAUAAUCUACUCGAUCAUAUCCUUACUUGGAUAACCGUAGUAAUUCUAGGGCUAAUACAUGAGUACGUAUUGGAAUCUAAAACCAAUACAAGGUAUCUAAACUGUAGUUUAUUUCACGAUUUGCUACGGGCUUUGUUUUGUUUGAUGACACACGAUAAAUUUACAAAUCACGAAUAUCUUUUCGUGAUGAUUUGAACGAGUUUCUGCCCUAUCAACUUUCGAUGGUAAGGUAUUUGCUUACCAUGGUUUUGACGGGUACGGGGAAUUUGGGUUUGAUUCCGGAGAAAAGGCCUGAGAGACGGCCAUUACUUCCAAGGAAGGCAGCAGGCGCGUAAUUUGCCCAAUGUCAAUUCGACGAGGCAGUGACGAGAAAUACCGAUAUUGGUUCCUACGGAAACAAUUAUUGGAAUGAGAACAAUUUAAACACAUUAGCGACUAACUAUUGGAGGGCAAGUCUGGUGCCAGCAGCCGCGGUAAUUCCAGCUCCAAGAGCGUAUAUUAAAAUUGUUGUGGUUAAAAAGCUCGUAGUUGUAUUUCGGAAAAUGGAUGUGAAUCACUAGAAUUCUAGUGGUUUCAUCUUUUUCUAUCUUUUUGUAUGGUUGAAAGACUGUGCAAAUAGUUUACUUUGAAAAAAUUAGAGUGUUCAAAGCAGGCUUUAUGCCAAUUGAAUAUUUUAGCAUGGGAUAAUGAAAUAAGACUUUAGCCUUAUUUUGUUGGUUUAUUUGGCUAUUGUAAUGAUUGAUAGGGACAGUUGGGGUCACUUGUAUUGGGCCGGGAGGGGUGAAAUCUUAUGAUCGGCUCAGGACAAACUACAGCGAAAGCAUUUGACAAGGAUGUUUUCAUUAAUCAAGAACGAGAGUUGAGGGAUCGAAGAUGAUCAGAUACCGUCGUAGUCUCAACUGUAAACGAUGUCGACUCAGGAUUGGGAGAUAUUACAUGGAUGAUUCUUCCAGCACUGAAUGAGAAAUCAAAGUAUCUAGACUCCAGGGGGAGUAUGGUCGCAAGGCUGAAACUUAAAGGAAUUGACGGAAGGCCACCACCAGGAGUGGAAUCUGCGGCUUAAUUUGACCCAACACGGGGAAACUUACCGGGUCCGGACACUACGAGGAUUGACAGAUUGAGAGCUCUUUCUUGAUUUAGUGAUUGGUGGUGCAUGGCCGUUUUUAGUUGGUGGAUUGAUUUGUCUGGUUAAUUCCGAAAACGAACGAGAUCUUAACCAUUAAAUAGUGACGUUAAUAUGGUCGAAAGGCCAAAUAUUUGACAUUGAAACUUCUUAGAGGGACUAUUUGCAUUUUAGUGAAUGGAAGUUUGAGGCAAAAACAGGUCUGUGAUGCCCUUCGAUGUUCCGGGCUGCACGCGCGUUACACUGAUAUGUUCAAUAAGUUCUUCCUUUUCCUAACGGAAGGGGUAAUCUUCGAAAAGCAUAUCGUGCUUGGGAUAGUGACUUGUAAUUAUUUCACUUGAACGAGGAAUUCCUAGUAGGGGUAGUUCAUCAAACUGCCCUGAAUAUGUCCCUGGCCUUUGUACACACCGCCCGUCGCUCCUACCGAUUGAAUAACCCGAUGAGGAUUCAGGAUAGGGUGAACUUUUAGAUGUCUGAAAGGAUAUUGGGUUCAUCUUAGAAUUUAUUCAAAUCUUAUUAUUUAGAGGAAGGAGAAGUCGUAACAAGGU